GUCACACUUCCUGUCCCUUUAAUCUCUUCUUCCAUCUGGGCAGCACUGGGCUCUCCGGAAGACACCUGUUCUCUCGCCUGUUAUUUCAGGCCUCUGCCGGUCCCGAAUGGUUGAGAAGUACACUGAGCAGUACCAAAGAGAACAGAGGGAGAAACAGGGCCAGAAUUUAAGGCACAUGGGCCUCAGUCUGCAUCCGUGGCUGGAAACAGGGAAUGUCCUUGUCUCUGUCCUAGCCGUAGGCCGGAAAUAAAGACCCGCUGUCUCCGGAUGCUGUACGCACACAGGGUGCUAACCUGGACAGCAGUCUCUUCAGGCGAACAAUGUUGGGAUUACAUCUUCAGAUUUUCAUGGUGAAAAUGUGGCAUUCUCCAAUUUUGGCCCAUCCCCCAACUGAUUUUCAGGUCUCAGCACUUGAAGUUAAGACUAUCCCAGGAGGCUUGGAGGCCACUAGGGAUGAGCUCUCCCCAUUCAGCUUGGGGCCCACUUUCCUGCUCUCUGGGAACACUGGAAAAGGAAGCAGAAGCUUAGGUCUUUGGGUCAAAAGGCGAAGUUUACCUCUGGCCUCGGAUGGAGACAUUUUGAUCUGUUCCAAAGAUUAAUAUUGCAUACUAUUGCUCCCUCCCAUGACAAUUAGUCCAGCUGAGCCUGGCAAUCCCCUGGCCACGAUCCCCAGCCUCCACCCCCAGGAAACCUGAUGCACUUAGACAGACUGGGGAGAUGAAAGAAAUGAUUGUUCCCUUGAUGAGACAAUGGGCCUACCUUCCCAAGUCCUGCCACCUGCAGCCAUCUAAGAGCCUCCACCAGGAGCAGUGCAGAGCCUGCCUGCUUUCCUGAGUAACUCAGAAAAAAAGCAGCUCUUUCUUCCCUUCUUUUCCAUCCCUUUUUCCUUUAGAUACUGUCCAAAGCCUGGGCAUUCUUUUCUUGACACUUUAGGCAUUCUCUCUUGGUCUCUGAAACUCCCUCCCCCCAUUGUCCACCAGUUCAGCCACUGCCCACCACACAGCUGUUUGCUGACUUCCACUGUGGAAUCUGUUUGCUUUCUCAAACCCCACCGCAAAAGGGGGUUUUCUCUUCCUCUUCAUGUCCUUCCUUCUGCCAAGACUUAUCGCUUGCUAGUUCUUCAAAAUCAAAUGAAAUUGCCCUCGAGGUUCCUUCCAAGCCUUUAUUAACAAGAUUAAGACCUCAAAAGAAAGAAUUCCGAUUGUUCUGGUAACAGUAUUAUGAAAGGGUCAUAGGUGAACAAGUGCUGGAAUGGAGAAAUGGCUCCUUGGAUAAAUGCACCUUCCAGUAAGUCAGGGAGAAGGAAAGAACUGACUCCACAAAGCUGUUCUUCAGUGUGGUCCAUGUGUACUCCGGAAUGUGCACACAGGCAUGCUCACACUCACACACACACACACACACACACACACACACACAUACACACAAACACACACACACACCCGUGCUGCUGCUGCUCACAACCAACACCAAACACACCAGUUCAGUUCCUGGCUCUCAGGAGUAUCUGCUCGUCAUGGGCCAUCAGCUACGGUGCUACUUGAUGUCCUCUCCAGCACAAGUUCUGCUUCUGGUUUCACUUCACCCUGUCUCCUUUGAGGAAGUGGUCUACACCCUCUUUCUAGGCAAGAGAGAGGUGUGGCUCUGCGCAUUUCUCUUUCUAGCUUGUGAAUCAGUUUAGGGGUCUAGUCUCGAAGCCACAAAAAUACACUCUAGCUAUCUUAGACAGAAAGGAUAUUUAAAACCACAGGUUUGGAAUCUGCCUAUCCCAUUGAACAGCUCAGGAGCCUUGGACAAGCUAUUGUCUUCUUCCAGUUUUACUCAGCCUACCACCCACAGGCUUUUGGGGUAAUCAGAAUUUUACAAAAUUUGAGUUUGGAAGCAGGUGGGAAUGAAGGACACUCAGGAGGCUGAGUCCUAGACACUGCCCCUCAGUGCUACGCCAAGGUGAACAAGCUACUCAGGUACUUCUACACUUGGCGGCACUCCCUAGGCCUGGGGGAAAGCUUCUGACUGGCCCGGUUACAGUUGAAGAUUUGGUCCCAUUGAUGUCCAUGGGGUGCAGACUAGCCCCUCUGAGAGUUUAAAUUAAGAGCAGAUGGCUGUAAGAGGGUUCUCGAAUGCCAGCCAGCUUCCCAAAUGACUGCCUGGAAAUUCAGAGCAACACUGACACUCAAAAGGGAAGGCUGGAUUGUCUGCCUUUUCUUGGUUAGAUUUGGUGGUAGGUGCUCGUCUCCUUUCCUCGUCCUUGUACAAAAUCCCUCCUGUGGGAUUACUCACUGAGCAUGUGCACAGUGAGGCUACAUCCUGGAUUUCCAUCUCGGUUGUCUUGUCUAGCCAUAGCUCUGGGCGUGACAUGAAGCAGAGGGGAGGGUGGUGACCCUCAAGAAGGGAACAUAAGCAUUGCCAGGGCUUCUGAAGAGAGGCAUGGCUUCAAAAUGGCAUUUGUGGCCUAUGACAUUAGCAAGAUGGAGCGGUGAUCUGUGCUCGCCUGUAUCUCAGGCUACCCCAAGGGCAGCAAACCCCAACACUGUCUCAGUGAAAAUGGGGAAUUUCUUCAGUAUUUUUCUCCUUGGUGAGUCCUCAUGAUCCAAGGUCUGUUUUUAGGAUAUUCUUGCCUCCUGGAAAGACCUGUCUUAUUAACCAAAUGCAUCAGAAUUCAAUUUUAUUGCUUAAAAAAUGUUUUCUGAGGAAAACCACAUUUUCAAGAGGAAGCUUGCACGUUAUUCAGACUAGAAAAAAAUAGAACCCCGUUGUCACAUUUGUCUUUCCUCUUGUGCAUAUUCCGGUUGCAGCUGAUGGGACCUGGACUGGAAGUCUGCUUUUUCAGCUGCUCACGUGGCCAGUCACUCGGCCUGGGGCUUAACUCUGGGUGCAGUGUUGGGGAAACACCGUCAGCCCCUCCUCAGAAUGUAACGAGCAUAAAGUAAAAAUUCAAAAGCACGUAAGGAGUCUGAGCCCAGUUCUUGCCUACUGGUUGGCCAAUAUUCUUGUUUUUGAAAACGUUAUCCAAGACUAUGUGGCAAUGGGUAAGGUGAGCACUUUGCUGCCGCGGCUUCCUGAAGACAGUCUGGACGCCUGGGAGCCAGGGAGAAUGAACUAGGAAAGAUUCACCAAUUUGUCCUCCGACUUGAGGCGCUGCUACAUUUGCCCGACCCACAGUAUUCUGAGAGUGAUAGCCUAGGGAUGAGUAUGAUCUGAGCUCAUCUUUGUUGAGAGAAGUAUGAGGGUUCAGCAAGUGAGAGAUGGAUCUAUCCUAAGCUGUUUCAAGAAAUUGGAUGACAAAAAUCUCUGAUGGAGAAGUCGCAAGUUGCCAUGGAUAUGUCACUCCUUAAUUCAUGUAGCAACAAAACAGUAAAGGUUAGGGGUCGGCAGCUCAAGUGGAUUUAACCAUCAGUUUUUUGAGAAGGGCUUUCUUGAGAAAUCUUGAACUUUGGUGACCUCCAAAGUGAAGGAAUUGCAUGUGAAAUCUCUUUAACACACACACACACACACACACACACACACACACACUAUGGUCUAGAGAAGCAAAUCCCCAGGCUCAGACUUAGUUCCUUCACAGCUGUUCCCGUUUCUGUCCGAUGGCACCCAGCUAUAUCUGAAACUGACAGCAGGGCUUGGUGCUGGUCACAUGAUGCUGGUUUUGCAGGCAUGUGGACUGUGAGCGUGAUGGGGUCAUGCAGGCUUCCACCAAGGCUGCAGGAAAAAACCCAUGGAGAUCAGAUUCUAGACGCGAAGCUCCAUGCUGGGACUGUCUUGCUUUUGGGCCAGUCUUUCCUAAGUAUCUUUCCAUUCCUCUCUUUUGGAAUGGAAAUGCUUACUCUGAGCCACUGUAUAUUGGAAACAUGUAACUUGACUUUUGAUCUUGUGGAGGCCCACAUAUACGAUUUUGCCUUGAGUCUCAGA